GGGAGACCUCAGUGUCAGAUCUUUCAUUUGAGCUACCAACAUCAUCUGAGAGCAUGGAAAUAAUUAUUGAUGUUGAUGCUGAUACUGACAUCGAUAUAAUCACUCCUGAAAGUUCAUACUCUGAUGCUGCUGACCCAGAUGUGCCAUCACUCAAACGAACUGACAGCAUAUUUCUUACCAGUGAAUACCUGCAGUCAAUCUCCAAGGUGGCUGACACACCAGAAGCUUCUGGAAGUUGUAUUGAAAGCACUGAUGAUGAAUAUAUUCCAUCAAAAGACUCAGGGAAUGAAAGUAGUUCAGAGGGAUUUGACAGUCCUGCAAAAAGGGUCCCAUUGUUGAAAAUUAAGAAAACAAAGAAGUCACAAAAGACUUCCAGAAGAAAAACACUUCCA